rnacentral:lncRNA from 1 species
AAACAAUUCUGAGAACUUUUGAAGGGGAUAAAAAGGUAAGCAAUUUUAAGUUCUUCCGUACAGAAAGCCAAGACCUUUCCUGACGAUAACUGCGACUACUCAAAAAUUCUGAUUAUUUUGUACAGUUCAUUUACAAAUUCAGCUGCAUAAAUGUUAAACACAUGCUCGACAUCAACACCAACUGUAUAUGCCCUUAGCCACAGAUCUUUCAUUUUUAGCUUCACCUCCGUUAAUAUCCUCUCAACGAGAGACACGUACUUGAAUCCACUAGGCACGAAAAGUUCAAAUGUUCUCGGUUACAAAUACGUUCACUGAGUCCCUAUCUGUAUCCAAACAACAAUAUAGUAUACAACGUAAGUUGCUAUGAUCGGAGAAGCCAUUUCUACAUAUUGAUCAAAGUUGUCAACAACAAAUCAGUUCUAUAUACACACACACACACAACCUUAAUACUGGUACAUAACAUCAUGUGUUGUCAAUUAGAAUAUAUAUCGCUAUUAUAGCAUUUACCAAAAUUUUUGACCUAACCAAUAUGUUAAUGUAUAUAUAAUAGUAAAAAAAGAAUUUGUUGUUUCUUUAUAGGCAUAUAUGAAUUUUUCCCUUUUUCAAAUUAGGCACAAUAUCCACUGCUGCUUUGUAUUGUAUCCAGUGUCCCAGCUCCCAUUGAUAUGACAAAUUGAACUUUGCAAAAACACACAAAGGCGCAAACUAGACCCUAUAUCUCCCACCCGGGCGGCUCUGCCACUGAAGUAUAUAUAUAUAUAUAUAUACACACAAACACACACACACAACCUUAAUACCGG